UUCCACUUAACUCCCAGCUCUGGCACUAAGCGGGACUAUUCCAUAGUUAUAAUCUUAAAAUUUCUGAAGAAAAACUCACGCUGGUCAGCGUGGGCCAUGUAGCCACCCCAGGGGCCGAGGUCCCAUGACUGACUAGUUUAUACUAGAACUACCUAGAGCAACUAAGUUCUCCAGAAGGUGUUUACUUCCCAGAAGUAGAAAGCAGGGCUCCUUUGUCUGUCCCCCAAACAUCAGCACCUAUCAGGAAAUUCCAUUUCAAGUCUAACACAAAAGCUUAUCU
rnacentral:lncRNA from 1 species